rnacentral:lncRNA from 1 species
UCACCCUUGCAGGCAGACCUGGAGACACCCACUCUGACCCCCUCCAGCAUUGCAGGGGAACCUGUCGUUUACAAGAGGAUGUUCAGUUCACAACAACGGGGAGGUUGGUCCAAAAAUGCUUCAGGGAGAGGUGUUGGGCACAGGUCUGCAGCCAGGACAGGCUGCCCUGUUGUCUUCUGCAUUGAUAAGAGAUGGUGAAAUGCUGCUGCAGCGAAGUGAAACGGAGUCACGAGUGACACCAGAGAGGGUGGGAUGUUACAUGUGUGGAAGAGAAGACCCAGCUAUCUGCCAAAGCCAUCAGCCUGCAAGCACCACAGGAACUCAUGUGCUCUCCCUGCUGAUCUUGCUGGUUUUGUCAGGAAAAGCAGUCCUGGCUGCAGAGGACGUCUGGUGCUCACAGGAGGGACAAAGCAGAUCCAAAACUGUAGGAGCAGUAAGCUCUGAUGAAAGACAGUGAGUGCAGGCUGGAAGAGGUGACUGAUGAUGCCAGAACAUCACUGUUGGUGCCCAGCUGAUGGCCAUGGUUUGUGCACAGGCAGGACAGGUGGGAAGGAGUGAAGCACUGGUGGGUGAGGGCUCAGGAUGACACUCCUG